rnacentral:rRNA from 1 species
CCUACGGGAGGCAGCAGUGAGGAAUAUUGGUCAAUGGACGGAAGUCUGAACCAGCCAUGCCGCGUGCAGGAAGACGGCUCUAUGAGUUGUAAACUGCUUUUGUACAAGGGUAAACCUGAAUACGUGUAGUCAUCUGAAAGUACUGUACGAAUAAGGAUCGGCUAACUCCGUGCCAGCAGCCGCGGUAAUACGGAGGAUCCAAGCGUUAUCCGGAUUUAUUGGGUUUAAAGGGUGCGUAGGCGGAUUUUUAAGUCAGCGGUCAAAUCGUGGGGCUCAACCCCAUCCAGCCGUUGAAACUGGGGUUCUUGAGUGUGCGGAAGGUAUGCGGAAUGCGUGGUGUAGCGGUGAAAUGCUUAGAUAUCACGCAGAACCCCGAUUGCGAAGGCAGCAUACCGCUGCACAACUGACGCUCAGGCACGAAAGCGUGGGUAUCGAACAGGAUUAGAUACCCUAGUAGUC